rfam:Triticum aestivum genome assembly, contig: Triticum_aestivum_CS42_TGACv1_scaffold_220736_3B
AUAGUACUCCCUCCGUCCCAAAAUUCUUGUCUUAGAUUUUAGUAUCAAGUCACAUUUUAGUAUUAGAUACAUCCGUAUCUAGACAAAUCUAAGACAAGAAAUUUGGGACAGAGGGAGUAGUUG